UCGAGCGGACAGAUGGGAGCUUGCUCCCUGAUGUUAGCGGCGGACGGGUGAGUAACACGUGGGUAACCUGCCUGUAAGACUGGGAUAACUCCGGGAAACCGGGGCUAAUACCGGAUGCUUGUUUGAACCGCAUGGUUCAAACAUAAAAGGUGGCUUCGGCUACCACUUACAGAUGGACCCGCGGCGCAUUAGCUAGUUGGUGAGGUAACGGCUCACCAAGGCGACGAUGCGUAGCCGACCUGAGAGGGUGAUCGGCCACACUGGGACUGAGACACGGCCCAGACUCCUACGGGAGGCAGCAGUAGGGAAUCUUCCGCAAUGGACGAAAGUCUGACGGAGCAACGCCGCGUGAGUGAUGAAGGUUUUCGGAUCGUAAAGCUCUGUUGUUAGGGAAGAACAAGUGCCGUUCAAAUAGGGCGGCACCUUGACGGUACCUAACCAGAAAGCCACGGCUAACUACGUGCCAGCAGCCGCGGUAAUACGUAGGUGGCAAGCGUUGUCCGGAAUUAUUGGGCGUAAAGGGCUCGCAGGCGGUUUCUUAAGUCUGAUGUGAAAGCCCCCGGCUCAACCGGGGAGGGUCAUUGGAAACUGGGGAACUUGAGUGCAGAAGAGGAGAGUGGAAUUCCACGUGUAGCGGUGAAAUGCGUAGAGAUGUGGAGGAACACCAGUGGCGAAGGCGACUCUCUGGUCUGUAACUGACGCUGAGGAGCGAAAGCGUGGGGAGCGAACAGGAUUAGAUACCCUGGUAGUCCACGCCGUAAACGAUGAGUGCUAAGUGUUAGGGGGUUUCCGCCCCUUAGUGCUGCAGCUAACGCAUUAAGCACUCCGCCUGGGGAGUACGGUCGCAAGACUGAAACUCAAAGGAAUUGACGGGGGCCCGCACAAGCGGUGGAGCAUGUGGUUUAAUUCGAAGCAACGCGAAGAACCUUACCAGGUCUUGACAUCCUCUGACAAUCCUAGAGAUAGGACGUCCCCUUCGGGGGCAGAGUGACAGGUGGUGCAUGGUUGUCGUCAGCUCGUGUCGUGAGAUGUUGGGUUAAGUCCCGCAACGAGCGCAACCCUUGAUCUUAGUUGCCAGCAUUCAGUUGGGCACUCUAAGGUGACUGCCGGUGACAAACCGGAGGAAGGUGGGGAUGACGUCAAAUCAUCAUGCCCCUUAUGACCUGGGCUACACACGUGCUACAAUGGGCAGAACAAAGGGCAGCGAAACCGCGAGGUUAAGCCAAUCCCACAAAUCUGUUCUCAGUUCGGAUCGCAGUCUGCAACUCGACUGCGUGAAGCUGGAA
rnacentral:rRNA from 1 species